UGGCGGGCAAUUUUUUUUUCUGAAACUAUUCACGUGGGUAUGAGGAAGUGGAAUAUCUCUGCAACAGUUCAUCAAGUGCCGGAGAUGCGAUAUACUUCAAAAUUUGCGGGCUAUGUUUUGUACUGUACCUUUUGUUUUAUGCUCUAAUAAGCACAUCACCUCUACAAUUAUUUUUGUGUAAUCUAACGUAUGCAGGAAAUCAUGAGUAUCCAUUAUUAUGCCAAUUAAUCGUGUAUGUAUAUUAUGUACCCAUUAUGUAUGCUGUUUUUUUUUUGUGUGAUGCCCCCUUACCCAAUGCCUCUCACGAGGCCUGUAGGGACUUUUUAAAUAAAUAAAAUAAAUACAUUUUCAACAUCUCAUUCCCCCACCUAAAUAAGGGCAAUUGGACAUCCAACUGUUCAAGCUUAGAAUACAGGAAAACACACUUCAAUUCCUUAAGUUAUACUUCGUACUAAUUUAAUUUAUCGCUCGACCCAUCUUCAUAUCAACCAGACCCUCACUUGUCACCAUUGGCGGGAUGCUAUAACACUGCACUUUGCAUGAACCAGCACAUGUUUUCAUUCUCCAUACUAUAACAGAAUGGAAUCGUGUACGAUCAGGUCACAAUCUUGCAUUAAUAAUUGUCUGUUUUUCAUUGUAUUAUCCUUCAUUGUCUCGCUUGUUGCCAUUGCAUGUAUUUGUAGCCCUCCCUGCUAGAACCAUGUGUCCGCAGAAUUAAUAAAAAUUAAAUGAACACAUACAAGCAAGAGAGAAGUUCCCUAGAAUGUCCCUGGAACCAACUAAUGUUUCAACAAGGAAAUUUGUCUUCAUCAGGGCCCCUUGUCUGCCUUGAAACAGACAAGCCCACUCGUCGAUAUGUUGACUCCAGCAAGAAGUAUGCUGACAGAGGUGGCCUGUACUGAGGCUACCUGCUUAUUAAUCCUCUGAGCAAAAAUUAUUUUUGCUCAAGAGCACCAUUCACCAGAAAGCACAUAGGCUUGGGGGCUGAAGCGACAACCCUGACACCAGCCCUCGUUGCAAUUCUUAAAAUUGUGAGUGAGCUCAUGCAUGUACGGCACGACUGCAACCUUUUAUACAUAUGUUCUUGCAUAAGGAUUAAGUACAUUAACCUUUCCUAAUUCAAUGAUUCAGGUGGGAUUCAUUAUGUUUUGCAAGAAGUAUUCAACACUGAAAAAUAUAAACAACAUACCAUUUUCAGGAAUGUGGGUGUCGCCAAUGCUUAUUACAUAAUUUGUUGGCUUUAUCAUGUAGAUAAAUACAGCUCUUGAAAUUCCACAAAUGUUCGUGUGUCACAUCAUGCUGAGGUUGGGCCCCUGCACUGUAAUUUUGGAGCCUGCUGCUUAAUGCAUAUAACGUGCCUUGAGUAUUACAAUAAUGGUCUUCGUCUAAUCUGUGGCCAUAUUUCACACCAUUAUGAGUGUGAAUUAAAAUAUCUGAAGAACCAUGUGUUGCUUACAACACAUUUGAGUUUUUGGCAGUUUAUGAGAAAACCGUUUAAUUCAUUGCAAAGACUAUACAGUGGCAAUUUUUACAAUUUUUCCUUGACUCUUGUUCAGAGGCACGUAAUAUAGUUCUCACUUCAUUAAAAAAAAAUUCAGACUGGAAGCAGUUAAUGCAGACAGCCUCAUAUUUGUGGCAUGCAAUGCCAGCGUAUUGCAUGAAAAAAAAUUUAGAAAGUCAUCACAGCCAUCUGGAUAAUGCUCAUAAAAAUAUUCAUGCACUGAGCAAUGUGCAUGGUUUGGUUAGUCAGUGCUGAAACCAGCCCAAACCUAAGCACCUCGAUAUGCCCAACCACAAGCUCGUGAAAGUUAACCUAUUCUACCCUUCGUAGCCAUUGAGCCGUUGCAGGGGCCUCAGGUUUCGAGCACGGCAACAUGUAACUUGCUGAUUCAUGCCUGUGCCUUCCUGGGAAAACAAUCGCCUAGUGGUUCGUGAACUGGAACGUAAAGGCAAAGGAAAUGCCUAUUGAAGCAGUGGCUCCUAAGAAAGCAUGUGUCACUAUCCAAAUAAGAAACAGCAAUGAAGAAAAAUGUUACGAAAAGAUCUCAUCAAACUAACUCGGAACAUCAAAAAUUGACCAACACUGCCAAGCCUGCCUGCCGGAAAAUGUCUUGCAGCAUUUGAAUGGAACUUUCAUAAAUGCCAUUCUGACUCUGCCAUUCUUCUGACUACUACUAUGGUUUCCAGGAAAAAUGGCCAUCCUGGUAACUCAAGAGGUCAGGACAACACCAUUGUAGCACAGUUUCACGCUAGUACGCUGUCUUUCACUUACGCUGUCUGACAUCAACAAUUAAGUCAUCUGGCAGUGAGCAUUUUCCAUAGGACAUGUUAGCAGCCAUAGUAUUUGGUGAGGCCUUUAAACAGACUAAGAAGUGUGGAAAAGAGUUGGAGGCGAAAGCAGUCCUUUUGAUCAAGUAUUUAACUGAGCUUUCAACUCUGCAUGGCAUGUGUAUUAUGUCCUCGUCAUAUCUAAAUUUGUACUGGGUGAACAGUGUACUUCCAACGGAGAACUCGGAUCAAAAUGACACAGUGGCUUGAUGAGGCAA